AUAGCAUGGUGGGGGCAUUUAUGAAUGACGUCCCUUAACCUUUCUCAUGUCUCAUGAAAAUGUUCACCAUCCAAUUGAGAAAAACUAAUAAUGGCUUUUUUAACUUG